ensembl:lncRNA
AAAAAAGGAACAGGGAACCUUUAUAGUGGGCCUAUUUUCUCACAUAUAUAUAUGAUAGUUGUUUAUAUUAAACGUAACGAGUUUCAAAGACGUAGAGAUCCUGCUGAAGACUUGGAAGUCAAUGCACAUCAGUCUGUUUUGCUUGCUGAAUUGCUCCAAUAAUACAUUUGUUUAGAAUAAAACGGUGUUACAGAGCGCCUCAGCAACCCCUCUUUUUUUUUUUUUUUUUUUUUUUUUUUUUUUAAAUAAUCUAGUCAGAGUAUGUGCAAGUUAUUCUUGCUAUUCAAAAGCUCAAGACUGUUCCAAUUAUUUUGUGUUUCUGGCAGUUUUUUGGCUCAGUAAAAUAUGUGAACUGGGUCAGCACAAUGUCAGUGAGAACAGGCAGGAUUAAUAUGGUCAUCUCAGACCAUUUCUGGCUGCGAGUCCAGAAGCUACACCUACUGCUCAAGUAUUCUGUCUGUGACAUCCAAUCAGAGGGAAGUUGUCUUAAAGGGAGGGGGAUGGAAGUGAGAAUGAUGUGUUUAGAGCAGUGAAAGAGCUGCACCACAGCAAAGUAUGAAAUAGAUUUUUAUUUAUUUUUCUUUCUAUACAUCUAUAUCUAUAUCUCUAUAUCUAUAUAUUUUUUUAGGAGUCACAAAAUCAAUACAUGAGCAUAACAGUUCUCCUUACAGAAACCUUAAAACAGUUAAAAGCUCCAAAUUGCAUCAUGGUCUCAAUCCACUCAUACACGAUGCUUUAAGAACUGGUUUGUAACUGAUAAGUAAUAGGUUUGCUAGUUGAUGCAAACACUGCUUGAGGACAAGUAAAUGACUCCUGACAUCCUGAGCUCCAAGUGCUGAUGCCUUCAUCUGAAGGGCACAAACAAUCUGGUGUUCUUUAGCGCCUUGUGUUGACAGGAGGCUGGGAGCCAAGAGCUGGACACCUCAGCAAAAGCAUGCUUGACGAGACAGGGUGAGUGUAAUAGAUUUGAAGUUCUCCUCUUGGAGCUGGAGAGUGUUAAAUCACCAUGGACAUUGAGAUGGUGGUUUGGAGGGUUUGGGCAGCAUUUGGUUUAAAAUACUUUUUUUUUUUUAAGUUUAAGGGUUUUAGCUUCACUGCUAUGACUCUCACCGUUAUGAAAAACCUCCAACUGCACAGUCUCUGAUCAUCCUCUUCCCCCCCCCGUAUUCUUACCCAAGCUCAGUAAAGCAAUCAUCACAGCCCCGCAGUGCAAGAGCGUCUUAGCUAUGGCAGAUAAAGGCUGGGAGAUUGUCAGUAAUGACGGGUCCACCAGUGCUG